rnacentral:tRNA from 3 species
GCUUCAGUAGCUCAGUUGGUUAGAGCACAUGACUGUUAAUCAUGGGGUCGUUGGUUCAAGCCCAUCCUGAAGCGCAA